CACGGAGUUAGCCGAUCCUUAUUCUUCCGGUACAUUCAGCACAAUACACGUAUUGUGGUUUAUUCCCGGAUAAAAGCAGUUUACAACCCAUAGGGCAGUCUUCCUGCACGCGGCAUGGCUGGUUCAGAGUUGCCUCCAUUGACCAAUAUUCCUUACUGCUGCCUCCCGUAGGAGUCUGGUCCGUGUCUCAGUACCAGUGUGGGGGGUCAUCCUCUCAGAUCCCCUAGUCAUCGUCGCCUUGGUGGGCCGUUACCCCGCCAACUAGCUAAUGACACGCAUGCCCAUCUCUAUCCCAUUAAUGUUUGAUCAUUGAAUAAUGCCAUUCUGUGAUUUUAUGCGGUAUUAAUCCGGAUUUCUCCGGGCUAUCCCCCAGAUAAAGGUAGGUUGCAUACGCGUUACGCACCCGUGCGCCGGUCUCAAGUAAGCAAGCCUACUCUACCCCUCGACUUGCAUGUAUUAGGCCUGCCGCUAGCGUUCAUCCUGAGCCAGGAU
rnacentral:rRNA from 1 species